AGUGAACGCUGGCGGCAGGCCUAAUACAUGCAAGUCGAACGGCAGCACGGCAGAGCUUGCUCUGUGGGUGGCGAGUGGCGGACGGGUGAGGAAUACAUGGGAAUCUGCCCAGUCGUGGGGGAUAACGUAGGGAAACUUACGCUAAUACCGCAUGCGCCCUUCGGGGAAAGCCGGGGACCUUCGGGCCUGGCGCGAUUGGAUGAGCCCAUGUCGGAUUAGCUAGUUGGCGGGGUAAUGGCCCACCAAGGCGACGAUCCGUAGCUGGUCUGAGAGGAUGAUCAGCCACACUGGAACUGAGACACGGUCCAGACUCCUACGGGAGGCAGCAGUAGGGAAUAUUGGACAAUGGGCGCAAGCCUGAUCCAGCCAUGCCGCGUGAGUGAAGAAGGCCCUCGGGUUGUAAAGCUCUUUUGUCCGGAAAGAAAGCGCCGGGUUAAUACCCUGGUGUCCUGACGGUACCGGAAGAAUAAGCACGGCUAACUUCGUGCCAGCAGCCGCGGUAAUC
rnacentral:rRNA from 1 species